AUCAGAAUGCGCCCGAGAUCGUGAGUUGUGACAAUAGUCGAGCACGGUUGUCACGCCACCGUGCAGCAUUCCGAGAAGGCUUAGGAGCGUCCCUACGUAGAGGUCGUGGGGUCUGUAGAACGGCGCGAGCACACCGUGUGUUGUCUUUGCAUAAUCAUCGGCGUCACCAUCCGAAACCAGCCGGCGAAAUUGGUCUUGCCAGCAGUGCCGAUGGGAGUCGAUCAUCCCUGGCAUGAGAAUCAUCCCGC
rnacentral:misc_RNA from 1 species